CAAAUUAAAAUGCUGCAAAAUUAAGGAUAAUGUCAAAGCUACCAUCUACUCUUGAAGAAAUACAUAACUGUGUCAAUGAAUAUUCAUUGAUAAACAAUAUUAUUACAUUUACAUACAUACAUAAGGAACUUGAAGUGUCUCAAAAAAGCCAAUACGGUAUUUGUCGAUGGCACAUUUAAAAGUUGUCCAAAACAAUUUUACCAAUUAUUUUCUAUAUUUAUCAAGAAUGGAACUUUUUAUGUACCUAUCGUAUUUACCUUACUCUCAAACAAAAAUACGGAAAGUUUUAUGCUUACUUUCAAAAACAUCGCAGAGUACGUAUAAGUGGACACAAUGUUCGCUGAUUUUGAAAUGGCAAUACAUUAUGCUAUAAAUGCACAGUGGCCACUAGUUACAGUUCGUGGUUUUAGGUUUCAUUUAACACAGUCAUGGUGGAGAAAAAUUCAACAAGUUAGUCUAUGUGUAGAAUUAAAAACGAAGAGUCAGAAAUUGGGCAAUUUUUAAAAUUAUUUUUUGGAUUACCACUUUUAUCUCCUGGGGAUGUCGAAGACUGUUUUUAUAACAAAUUAAUGACCAUAAAACCAUGCUCUCCGAAAUUGGAUCAAUUUUUCGACUACGUUAAUGAUACAGACUGUACUUUUCUUCCAAAGAUGUGGGCCCGAUUUGACAACAAUAUCGAAAGAACUAUGAAUUGUUGUGAGUCGUGUCAUUCAAAGCUAAAUAAUGAAUUUAUUAGUACCCAUCCUAACAUAUUCAACUUCAUGGACACUUUGAACAGUAUUCAAAUACUAAAUUAUACCAAACUUCAUAGUAUCAAUACUAGAAAACGCGCAAACAAACGAGAUCAAAAUAUACAAUACUUAAAUAAAUGCAUGAGAGACUAUGGAAAUGGGAUGUUUCCACGAAUUAAUUAUUUGAAGAAAGUCAGUUUUAAGUUUGCACUUAGAAUUUAAUAUUUUAAUAUUUUUAUUUACUAUAUAUUGAAAAUUAUUAUUUUUUGAAUGAUACUUUUAUACGC